UGUAAGCGUAUACCAAAGUUGUUGCAGUUAAAACGCUCGUAGUCGGAAUUUGGCAGUUCCGGAUGUGUGCACGUCGUGUGCGCACUUCGCGGGGAUUGCUUUUGUGGUCUUGCGUAGGAUGAGGCACUUUUAUUAGUGAACGUCCUCACGCAACCACUUUUUACUGUGAGAAAAUCAGAGUGCUCAAAGCAGGCAUUUGCCGUGAAUGUAUUAGCAUGGAAUAAUAGAAUAGGACUUGGUUCUAUUUUGUUGGUUUGUUGGGACUGAGUAAUGAUUAAGAGGGACAGUUGGGGGCAUUUGUAUUUCGGUGCUAGAGGUGAAAUUCUUAGAUUGCCGAAAGACAAACUGCUGCGAAAGCGUCUGCCAAGGAUGUUUUCAUUAA
rnacentral:rRNA from 1 species